UGAAAGCUAUUAAAAUCAAAAUCCCCAUUGUUUUUAUUCCUCCCUAGGCAGAAACCCUAAACUUUUAAAAGCCCCUACAGACCCUCUCCGCUCUCCUCUCGCUGUACCCUCUCGUCGCCCAUCCCGUCGCAGUGGCUAUUCCACCGUGAAGCCGUGCUGCCAUUCAUAUUCUACUUCUAGUCCUUAUGCUUCAUACUGUGGAAUUGAUGAUACUGCUCAAAGGCUCUGUGAUAGCCAUUUUUUUGGUAAGCGACAUUUCUGCAUGGCUUCCCCAUCUUAGAUUUGAGGUUAAUGUGGCAGUUUCAUGACCAUAUUACAAAAUAUUAAGCAAGAAUACUAUCAAUAAGUAUGGUUUUGAAGUAGUGGCUUUGAGCUGAAACUACAGAGGGAACCAUUUAUUUAUCAUUUUUCUCAAUUUGGUUGGAUGCAAGGCUGUAGGUUUGUUUAAUGUUUCAUUUUCUUCUGCUUUAGUGGGUUAGGUAAUUACUGAAUGUGAUGUGACAGAGAAUGGCAAAGAAGUUCUUGGAGAAGAAGAAUUUCCUGAAGUGAGUGUAGAGUUCCAGGAUACGUUUUUGGGCAACACAAUUACUUGUUGCAGUUUUUCUGCAUCCGGGAACAAAUAUAGCUAGUGCAUCUGUGGCUGGCACUGUCAGGUAUGCUCUUUAAAAGCAACUGAUAUAAACUUGUAAAUAUGUUCAAUAGAGCAUUUUGCUGCCUUGGGCAAUCCUUACGUGCAGGUUUUUAAAUUAAUCUAGCCUGCCCAAUAGUUAAUGAUCGUUAAAUUUCAAAAAAGGAACAAAAAGGAGGGGAAAAAUAAAAAGGAAAACUAGUUAAUGAUCCUUAUAAUCUGACUACUGACCAAUACAGUUUAGAUGGCUUACAGCUGUGGGCUGACCAUGGUUCUCAACAAGUUGUGACUUCAGCAAAACACUUCUUACCAGAGCUCGAGAUUUACUGCUAUUUGCUUGUUCCCCUUUUUCUCACUGAUCAGAAAAAAAAACAAUGAGGUUUGAUCCAUUUAUGCUGGUGAAUUCUUCAGCUAUUGUACAAUGGGCUUUUACACAAAAUAUAUUUUACUAUUUUUUGUUAUUGAUAUUACUUUAUUAUGUAGAAAUAGAGAAAGUAGCAUUUUCUCAAAUAAAUGAACUAGGAUUUGUAAAACUUUGACGGGGUAUUGAGCAAUGAUUCUGUGGGACGUCUUUUGGGUGGUUUGGGCUCUUAGAUGACAAUAUCUAUAAUGUAGACGGAGUACUUCUGUGUAUUUGAGGUCUUUAUGUCUAGUUUGAAAGUUUGAUUUUAGAAUUGGGCAGCAGCAUGUUUUCAUGACAGUAAUAAUCUUGAAUGUUAUAUUAUGGCAUGUUGGUAUGGUAAUUUUUGUUUCUUUAAUUUCAACUUGGAAGCUUUUAUUCCUAGUAUUGCCUCUGAAUUAAUUAUGAUUGUAGGAAGAUGAGCAUGACAUGGAAGUCAAUACUGCAACAUCCGCAGUUCAGACUCCAGCGAAACACUUGUUCCCAGAGCUCGAGAUUUAUUGCUAUUUACAUGUUCUCCUUUUUCUUACAGACCAUAAAAAAAAAAAAAUCUAUAAUGUAGACAUAGGAUUUCUGUAUAUUUGAGGUCUUUAUGUAUAGUUUGAAAGUUUGAUUUUAGAAUUGGGCAGCUGCAUGUUUUCAUGACUGUAAUGAUCUUGAAUGUUAUAUUAUUGCAUGUUGGCAUGGAAAUUUUUGUUUCUUUAAUUUCAACUUGGAAGCUUUUGUUCCUAGUAUUGCCUCUGAAUUAAAUAUUAUUGUAGGAAGAUGAGCAUGACAUGGAAGUCGAUACUGCAACAUUUACAGUUCAGAUUCCAGCGAAGCACUUGUUCCCAGAGCUCGAGAUUUAUUGCUAUUUGCUUGUUCUCCUUUUUCUUAUUGACCAAAAAACAAUCCACUUUGUUAAACUGCAGAGAUUCUUGCUUUGUUUUCUUUCGGGCUAAAACUUGUUCCACAGCAAGUAUUAAUUGGCUCAAAACCCUAAACAGAAGAAUUCCUGAUGUCCUAACCUCAACAUUUGCUUCUAUUACUCAUAUAGCUAUGAGCUCACUCCCAAAUUCGUGGGUAAGAUAUUCAUAGCCAGCUGUCUUCUCUGUGGUUCCUGCUCUGUAUGCGUGCUUACAUGUGUAAAUAUAUAAAUCAUCCUUGUCAACAUGUAACUUUCGGUAAAGCGGAGGAAGCUGAAUAAGAGCCUAGUCAUUUAUCUAACUCCUUUGUGUACUGGUACUUGUGUUACGGACCUAAAGAAGAGUUUUGAAUCCCACAUCGAAUAUAAAAGGAGAGUCACUGGGGUAUAAAAGGGUUUACACUAUCUCUUCUUUAUGAGGCGUUUUUUGUAAGACAAAAUCUUGAGGUCAGGGGGGCCAGAGCAGACAAUUCCUCACAAGGGUGUGAACUGUGGCAGGUAGGUUGAUUUGGAACGUCGGAUGAGUGGAUGCUCGGGUUCCGGAGUUGCGCGACCGAGCUGCGCGGGUUCGGAGCUUAAGUUUCGACCCGUGACAAGUGGUAUUAGAGCCAAUCCUAAACCGUUCGAUUCACGCCAAGCCCUUCGAGGGAGGUAGCCAGCCUCCAGAAUCCCACAUCGAAUAUAAAAGUAAAGUCAUUGGGGUAUAAAAGGGUUCACACCAUCUCUUUCGAGCGGACAAUACCUCAGAAAGGUGUGAACCGUAGCAAGUAGGGUGAUCUGGGACUCCGGAUGAGUGAAUGCGCGGGUCUCGGAGUCACACGGGUUCAGAGCUUAAGUCUCAAUCUAUGACACUUGCAGCUACCUCUUUGUAUCGAAUUGCUACACUACACCAUGAUGAGCUUGGUCAGGAAACACUUCUAAACUUGUUGAUGCGUAAUUACCUCCAUUAUAACCUCUAUGAUCAAGCAAAGAAGUUGAGGUCUAAGGCAACACGAUCUGAAGCACACUCAAACCAGCAGGUAUGCAAGUUAUUUAAUUUCACUUUGAAUACUUGUAUUACUGACAAAAUGUCAUUAGGACUGGAUUACAUGACAUCAGUAUCCCUUAGUCACGCAUAUCACUGGCCGAAAUUGCUGAAAAAUUGAGGUUGAACUCUGAACCUCUAGUGACAGAUGCUGAAAGCAUUGUAUCGAAGGCUAUAUAUGAUGGUGCCAUAGAUGCUACAUUGGAUCAGUAAAUGGUUGGAUGGUGUCAAAGAGACUGUUGAUAUUUAUUCUAGCAAUGAGCUUCAAAUAGCCUUCCAUACCAGGAUUGCUUUCUGCCUUAAUGUGCACAACGAAGCAAUUCGAGCCUUGUUUUAUCCACCAAAUGCACACAAGGAGAAGGAAAGUGCAGAAAAAUGGAGAGAGAUGCAACGGCAAGAACAGGAACUUGAAGUUGCUGAGGAGGAUGAUGAUGAUUUUUAAGGAUUUUGCCUUUGUGAUUACGAAUUGCAGCAUUAUCUAGACCUUUUUAUUGUUUCUCGUUUGGAAGGCUGGUUCAUUCUUUUCAAUUUUAUGAAUACUAUCCGUUUUUACUUGGAUGAAUUUCAGUCGUGUUGUUAUUAAUACAAAAUUUUAUGGA